rnacentral:rRNA from 1 species
GAGCCUGAUGCAGCGACGCCGCGUGCGGGAUGACGGCCUUCGGGUUGUAAACCGCUUUUGACAGGGACGAAGCGCAAGUGACUGUACCUGUAGAAUAAGGACCGGCCAACUACGUGCCAGCAGCCGCGGUAAUACGUAGGGUCCGAGCGUUGUCCGGAAUUACUGGGCGUAAAGAGCUUGUAGGCGGUUCGUCGCGUCGUUUGUGAAAACUUGGGGCUCAACCUUAAGCUUGCAGGCGAUACGGGCGGACUAGAGUACUUCAGGGGAGACUGGAAUUCCUGGUGUAGCGGUGAAAUGCGCAGAUAUCAGGAGGAACACCGGUGGCGAAGGCGGGUCUCUGGGAAGUAACUGACGCUGAGAAGCGAAAGCAUGGGUAGCAAACAGGAUUAGAUACCCUGGUAGUCCAUGCCGUAAACGGUGGGUACUAGGUGUGGGGCUCCUUCCACGGACUCCGUGCCGUAGCUAACGCAUUAAGUACCCCGCCUGGGGAGUACGGCCGCAAGGCUAAAACUCAAAGAAAUUGACGGGGGCCCGCACAAGCGGCGGAGCAUGUGGAUUAAUUCGAUGCAACGCGAAGAACCUUACCUGGGUUUGACAUACACCGGAAACCUGCAGAGAUGUAGGCCCCCUUGUGGUCGGUGUACAGGUGGUGCAUGGCUGUCGUCAGCUCGUGUCGUGAGAUGUUGGGUUAAGUCCCGCAACGAGCGCAACCCUUAUCUUAUGUUGCCAGCGCGUAAUGGCGGGGACUCGUGAGAGACUGCCGGGGUCAACUCGGAGGAAGGUGGGGACGACGUCAAGUCAUCAUGCCCCUUAUGUCCAGGGCUUCACACAUGAUACAAUGGCCGGUACAGA